UCUUGCCAUGUCAACAGCCCUUCUUCCCCCACUCUUGCCCUAGCAGGUUGCACAGCUGGGCUGCAGCAGCUGCAAGGACUGCUAGAUCUGCAGAGGGAGCCAGCAUUUUAUUUUUGGUAAGAUUUUUUUUUUCAGGGAGCUCAUGCUUUUUCAUGGAGCCCACCUGAAAUUGCAGCUUCUGUGAAAAAUUGCAAAGUCGCGAUUUUGAUGGAACCUGUUGUUAGGUCUUGUCAAGCAAACCACCAACUAUAAAAACAACAAUCAAACCAACUGUAAUCUUGAACAAAAAACUCACAUGAUGGGAGAUGUGUCAUACAUCACUUCAAGGAGAAACUUUCCAACUUGCUGAAGAGGAAAUGGGAUAAAAGUCAUAGUAGGAGACACAAGCCAGGUGAUAAAUCACUUCAAUUGUUUAUAUUUUAAACUACACUGAGAGAAUGGGCAGGGCUGAAAAGGAAACAUUUUUUGCUGGAAAGUGGUAACAGCUGCCAUCACCUCUGAUCUGUGGAAAGAAGAGGCUGAAGACUCUGGGCCUGAGGAUUAGAUGUCAGAGCUGACGUACUAUCAGAGCCAAUGGAAUUUGAGGCCAGACAAGUGUAACGUCCAGUAUCGUCCUCAAAGGCUUCUGCUAUGAUGAGUGAAUGAAGGCCUCCACUUUCAGAACGGAUCUGAAUAUCAGGAGUAUUCUGGAGUUCUUUUCCUUCACAGAACCAUCUGCGUAAAAACAAAAAACAUUAAAUGGAUUCAUAUCUAUCACUAACAAAAAAGCAUGGAAUUUUGCUACAAAAUCAAAACACAUUAAAAAAAAAAAACAUGGAGGAUCAGUUUUAUUUUCUUCGCUGGAUGUAUGGAAUAUGUAUGUGGCUAACACCCAGUAAAGGCAACUGACAUUAUUGGAAAUGAAAAAUGGAUGACUAAUAAUUUUUGCAAGUGCUGGCAUUCUACGAUCAUUUACAAUUUUUGCAACAACUCUAAAUUCCGGAACAUUAUCAGGCAUCUUAUGCCACCUAAUUGUUUUAUUUCUAGCAUUCUCUAUCUAUAAUAGGCUACAUAUAUAUUGGUCCAGUAGAUUGGUUCUGAGUGCCUGAUAAGUGUGUGUCUAAAACUGUAGUUAAGAGCUGAAUUACCUGCUUUACUUAGAUGUAAAUUUAACUGAAUGUAGGAUGCUAAAUUAUCUUGUAGACCUUCAUUAAUGUAGUACAUGACAAGCGUGUUUGAGACAUGAGUUCAAGAGCAACUUUCUGAUUAUGGGAUUAUCAGACUCUUCUUAAAUUAAGUGGCUGGACUCCAGGCAAGGGAAAAGAGUGACAGAUUAAUGGAGAUGCUUUGGAAAGGUCUAAGAAGUCAAAUUCUGUUCCCCAUUAGAAGGUAAACUAUGCUGCAGUGGGAAUAAACUGGUAAUGUACAAAAGGAACAUUAGCAUCUUUCCCAGAUUACUCCUAAAGUACACAGCAGGACCUCUCUAAAAGCCUACACACAUCCUCCUUUCUCCAAAAGUACUGCAACCUAAGAGACCAGCAAAUCAUAAGGAUACUGUUGCAGGGAGAGACAAAAGGGAGGACCCAAAAGGGUAAGGGGGGAACCCCGGGAGCAGAAGUCUGGGGAAGAACGGAGAGAAAAAAGCAAAAAUGAAAGCGAACUCUCACCUGUAGCGAGACCCGUGGAGAAGCGGGAACACUGGGAGGAACCCACACGAAUCAUCAGCCGCGCCUUCAUACAGCUGCGGCCAGCCGGUGACGUCAGCGGCGAUCACCGGUCAGCAGAAAUAAAGAGGACGGCCAGCAAAGAGGCAGGGGAACAGACGCCGGCAGAAACCCCAGCCGGAGGGGGCUCCAGGAGGCUCUGAGUGGAGCGAGCGGGGCCAGAAAUGGAGUUCCCCAGUGGGAGAGGAUCUGACGCCUCACGCGGCGAGGCAGGAGCUGCUGACUGCGGAGAAGGCAACACCGCACUAGGAGCAGGAGCCCCCGUGUGAAGAAGAGAAGGACAGGGAGGCAGAGCCCAGAGAGACCCCAAUCCAAGCGGUCACUGUGGAGAAGGGGGAGGUGCUGACCCACCAUCCAGCCUCCGACCAGGUGGGACAGUGAAGGGUCUCAGGGGGCCCGAAGAUAUGCCCCAGGGAGAGCGGCAUUGGCGAGAAGCCCCAGAGAGGGGACAGCUUCAUUGAGAAGCUCCUGAGGAGAGGGCAGCAUUAUCAGGAGUCACAGAAGCGAGGGGGAGAAAGCCUGGGGAAAGCCCCAGGGUCCCAUGACCACGCGGGGAACCUAAGAUAAGCCCAUAAAGGUCAGGGGGUGCUGGUAGUGUAUGAUUGGGCCUUAGGGGCUGGAUGCGAGUACCGAGGGGUACUUCGGGGUGUGGUAGGAAUACUCUUUUCUUUUGGAGAUUUGUUGUAAUAUAUUUUGUGUUUCCCACUUCUGGAGGGGUUGAGUAUCAGGGAACGCGAGGAGAACUGGUGGUGGUUUGAGUCUCAGGAUCGGAGUUAACAAGAAGGAACAUCAGUGUGCCCAAAAACGAGGGAAACACUAGGAGCCCAUCGUUCGGGAAUUUGGCCACAGGAACAACAGUGGCCCACCAGGCUGGGUAUAAGGGCAAGGUAGAGGGGAGGUGGAGCCUCGCAGAAGACCGCCAGAGAAACAGGGUGCCUGUGUGGGAAUCUGAGUGGUCCUGAACCCCACACUGUAUUAAGAUUCAAAGUUGUGGCAGGCGAGACAGGGGAGGACCACAUCAGGAGUAAACAUCGACUCGAAGGGCCACCUGGGAUAGCAAGGCAGACACCAGCAUACAUCCGGACCAACUGCCUGGGACAAGAUGUUCGAGGCCAGGCGGGCACAGAUACCUUAUAUAAGUAAGCACAUGUAGCAGUGACUUUCUUAGGUUUGACCUGGGGAGAAAAAAAAUCCAAGGCAUACUUUUCUAGUGCUUGCAAGUUAGUCAAGUCAAAAGUAGUUUCCAUCAGGAAAAAAGUUGCUAUUAAACUAUAAUGAAGGCUUUAAUUUUGCUCAAAGAAAAAAAUAUCAAAUAGGUACAGACCUAAAAAAGGAUGUUUCAGUAACUGAAAAAAGGAAUGAAAAUGGAAACAGGUAAGAAUGCUUACCAAUAAAGAGAUACAUCCUCUCCACAGCUGUGCCUGUAACAAUCUUAUUUUCCCACUUCUUAUAAUAUUCUCCUAUUUAAGAAAUCAUUCAGAAGGAACAACUGGAAAUCUCCAUUGGUUCUUUGCUCUUCUGUAGGUGCUCCUGGGGGAAAUGCAUUUCUUUGGUUCUCUAACCCAUAAAUACAGCCACAAAGUGAUUUGAUUUACCCAUUUUGGUUUCAGUGAAACAAUUAUUGAAACUAGGUGCUCUGUCAAGGACUAUUCAGUCACUACAAAAAGUUGGAGACAUUUCUUAGUUCUUAUGCAGUUCUAGGCCAUCAAAAACAUGAUUCAUGAUGUCUGGCUAGUGAAAAAUAAGCUGGAGAAUACAUGAAGAAAAACAGCCCUACAGUUUAGACGGUAUUUAUCUGGCAUGUGGAAUAUUUUAUAUUGUAAUCUCUAGAUGCUAUAGGUAAAAGAUGAGAGGUAUGAAUGGAAAUUCACUGUGUAUACCUUAAAAAAUAAAAGGUGUAGUUAACAAGAUGUCCAUCUAUCAUACUAGGCUCCACUUUUCUUGUACAGUGAGCUAUGUUUGUUUCCCUAAACUUUCACAGAUUCAUAGAUGUUAGGGCCGGAAGGGACCUCAAUAGAUCAUCGAGUCCGACCCCCUGCAUAGGCAGGAAAGAGUGCUGGGUCUAGAUGACCCCAGCUAGAUGCCUAUCCAAACUCCUCUUGAAGACCCCCAGGGUAGGGGAGAGCACCACCUCCCUUGGGAGCCCGUUCCAGAC